AGAGGUAAACGGGUGGAGUUGAACUGCAUGCUCCGUGAAUUCAGCUGGUGAGAUUGUUGUGGGGCUUGGUCAAGUGGGGUAGACACUGAGGUAUGCUUAGCUGCAUGUCCCGGCCUGCUGGUUGGGAUGCGCGCUACGCUCAUCAUGCGUUGCGCGCCUCUGUUGUUUAUCUGCCCUCUCGCCAGUGCAUUUUCGCGGAGUGUUCACCAAGACCGGCGUUGCUGUCCGGCUGCUUUGGUUAAACCGGUCUUACGCGUCCUUGUGGCGUUGUUUGGUCGGGACGGCAGGUAGCCCGUUGGCUUGUUUUGCUUGCUUUCGGGUGUAAUCAGCUGACUAGAGCGGGACUGUGCAGUGCGUCGGAGCUGGCGGCCAGUUGUGCAUGCUCGUGCGUCAUGCCUUCCGAAGGAUUCUGUUUUGAUCACCAUGUUGCCUGUCUCGGCAGGUCUGGUGAUAGACGGGUUUCUAUUGGUUGGUGGUUCCGCGGGUAGCACUUUACAGGGCCAAUAGUCUUUGGUGUCGUGGUAGACUAUCCACCUGACCCGUCUUGAAACACGGACCAAGGAGAGUAACAUGUGCGCGAGUCAUUGGGUGUAACGAAACCCAAAGGCGCAGUGAAAGUAAAGGUCUGACUUGUUCAGUCUGAGGUGAGAUCCUGUUGUUUCUCAUGCCUGGUACCACCAAGCUUGGAGCGACAGGCGCAUCACCGGCCCGUCCCAUGAUGUAGACACGGUCAUUGUACUCGUGCACCGUCGGGGCGGAGCAUGAGCGCACACGUUGAGACCCGAAAGAUGGUGAACUAUGCUUGCGCAGGUUGAAGCCAGAGGAAACUCUGGUGGAGGACCGCAGCGAUUCUGACGUGCAAAUCGA
rnacentral:rRNA from 1 species